AUUGAACGCUGGCGGCACGCUUAACACAUGCAAGUCGAACGCCCCGCAAGGGGAGUGGCAGACGGGUGAGUAACACGUGGGAACGUGCCCUAAGGUUUGGAAUAUUCCCGGGAAACUGGGAGCAAUACCAAAUGUGUCCGUAAGGAGAAAGAUUUAUCGCCUUAGGAUCGGCCCGCGUCAGAUUAGGUAGUUGGUGGGGUAAUGGCCUACCAAGCCGACGAUCUGUAGCGGGUCUGAGAGGACGACCAGCCACACUGGGACUGAGACACGGCCCAGACUCCUACGGGAGGCAGCAGUGGGGAAUCUUGGACAAUGGGCGCAAGCCUGAUCCAGCCAUGCCGCGUGGAUGAUGAAGGCCCUAGGGUUGUAAAAUCCUUUCGUUGGGGACGAUAAUGACGGUACCCAAAGAAGAAGCUCCGGCUAACUUCGUGCCAGCAGCCGCAGUAA
rnacentral:rRNA from 1 species